AGAGGGACAGCUGGGUCAAAUGGUGGUUUCAUUCCCAUUUUUUCCAAGAAAUCUCCAUACUGUUUUCCAUAUUGGCUGUACCAAUUUGAAGUCCCACCAGCAGU
rnacentral:pre_miRNA from 1 species